GUCUCUGGCCAUACCACCCUGAACGCGCGCCUGAUCUCGUCUGAUCUCAGAAGCUAAGCAGGGUCAGGCCUGGUUAGUACUUAGAUGGGAGAAAUCUGCAUUUGCCACCACAC
rnacentral:rRNA from 1 species